CCUACGGGAGGCAGCAGUGGGGAAUUUUGGACAAUGGGCGCAAGCCUGAUCCAGCAAUGCCGCGUGAGUGAAGAAGGCCUUCGGGUUGUAAAGCUCUUUUGUCAGGGAAGAAACGGUGGUUCCUAAUACGGACUACUAAUGACGGUACCUGAAGAAUAAGCACCGGCUAACUACGUGCCAGCAGCCGCGGUAAUACGUAGGGUGCAAGCGUUAAUCGGAAUUACUGGGCGUAAAGCGUGCGCAGGCGGUUAUAUAAGUCAGAUGUGAAAUCCCCGGGCUCAACCUGGGAACUGCAUUUGAGACUGUAUGGCUAGAGUGUGUCAGAGGGGGGUAGAAUUCCACGUGUAGCAGUGAAAUGCGUAGAUAUGUGGAGGAAUACCGAUGGCGAAGGCAGCCCCCUGGGAUAACACUGACGCUCAUGCACGAAAGCGUGGGGAGCAAACAGGAUUAGAUACCCUGGUAGUCCACGCCCUAAACGAUGUCUACUAGUUGUCGGGACUUAAUUGUCUUGGUAACGCAGCUAACGCGUGAAGUAGACCGCCUGGGGAGUACGGUCGCAAGAUUAAAACGCAAAGAGUAGUAGGACGNGAGAGAGACGACGACGACGACGACGGAGGGAGGAGG
rnacentral:rRNA from 1 species